rnacentral:misc_RNA from 1 species
CAAAAAUCAACCGUAAGAAGAUUCAUUUUCUGAACUGGAAAAUUUCUUGAAUAUUAAAAGCAUUUAUUAUGUCCUUAAUGCUUACUGCAGCACAAUUUAUAUACCCUUUUUUUUAUAAGCAAGGAAAAUAUUAUUAAAAGAUUAAAAGAGUGAGGGUUAGAAAACCACUCACAGAACACUAGAACAAAGAAAACCUAAUCAAAACAACCAAAAUCUCUCUGCUAAAACAAACAGCUAAACUACCAAGAGAAGAGUUCUAAAGAAAUCAAAAAAGUUAAAAAAAUAAUGGGAUACACUAUGACAUAUUUGGCUGGAAAUAGGAUUUAAAUGUUUAAACCUGGCUCUAAAUUCCUAAUUAAAAUGGUACUUGAAAAGCUUGCGUAUCACUUAUUUCUCUCUCCAGUUUUCUCCUAUAAACUUUUUUGGGAUUAUGGGUCCAUUUUUCAAAUGUUUGAUGUGGAUAAUUCAAUUAUGUUGCUAGCAUGGGUGUUUAUACUGUCUUGAUGCAUGUUUAUAUGUGUGCAUAAAGAAUCUUCUUUGUAUUGAUCAUCUCUGAUUUCAGUUUAUUAGAUAUCAAUUUUGAAUGUUUUAUUCGCAUGGUGAAAAUCAAUUAUCUGCUUGAUAUUGAAAGCUCUCCAUUAAAUG